ACGGUGUGUCAUUGAUACCAUUGUGUGAAUAGGUUUACUGUGUGGUUUUCCUUAGAAUGACAAAGGGAGAGUCAGAGUUAAGAAAGAGAAUGUUGAGAUGCUGGGAUUUGAACUCAUGAUGAGAAUGGAGGACUAUGAAAUAAAACAAGCCGGAAUCUGCUCUGGGAGGAAGAGGAGACAAGGCAGACAAUGCAGAAGUAAAUGGACAAGCAGGCGUUGGACUGAGCACUUGACUGGGAAGCGAGGAAGUGUUGGUCUCUGCCAUGACUAUGGAUGCGUGGGUGAGCUUAGGCACGUCCUCGUGUGGACUCAGUGAUCAUCUGAUACUGGUACCCGCCAUGUUUGAAUAUGGCUCAGAGAAGACAUGAGCUCUGCUGAAGGUCGCAUGGUGAGUCAGCAGUGCAACUGGGAAAAAGACCAACAGCCAUGGAUGAUUAACCAGACGAGGAUAGAACCGAAAUCCUUUAAAACAACCACAGAAGGAUUAAUCGGGCAAAUGCAUGAGCAGGCAGCCACAGUUUAUUGAGUACCUACUAUGUCCCAAGCAUGGUAAGAGGUGCUUCAUGUAUAUGGCCACAU